CUAACGUUCCUUGUCUGCUAAGCCUAGGUAUCGAGCGGGUCUCUCCAUCCCGGUUCUUUCGGUUUCAGGUUUUGGGGGUAACCUUUUCCUCUUCUUCGUUUCUUUCUCCUUUCUACGAUCGAUAAAUUAUGAUUCGUUCUCGUGAUCUACGUAAUUAGGGUUUCUCGAUCUUCAAAUUGCUAUCGAAUAUUUUUAGAUCGUGAGUUUGGAUUCUCCUGUGGUUGUAAUUGCCUUUAAUUCUUGUUAUGGCUUCUUGGAUUAAUUAUUUAAAUUCCCAUGGAUUCUGUCACUUUCUGGAUUGAAAUUGAUUUGAUAUGUAUAUAUGAUUUGGAGAGUAUAUCAUGCAAUGAGUUUUGCAGAUAGAGAUCUGGAUAACAGUUUCGACAAGGAGUUGCGGGAUAAAAAUUCUGUCCUUACCCUGGAUUUCAUGCUUCCCGCAAUUGUUCUAGUUCUGCCUUGCGGUAUUGUUUCGGGUCUCCAUUUCAUGUUUAAGAGAGAAUGCUUGAUUAACAGUGAAUUAACUCUGUGCUCGGGUGCUGGUUAUGUGAGAAAUUCUAGUCUGGCUGGUUUGGUUUCUUCACUCUGUCCUCAGUUUGCGCUCUUCUGACUUACUUUAACCUGUCUUUGCGAAAGUACUCUGCUCACCUGUGCUGAUCAUAGCCCUUGCAGCUGGUCAUAAUAACCCCUAAUGCAGUCAACAAUUCUUAUUCCUCAGCACUUGACUUUAGAUGCUGUUUGUUUGUGGCUAGUUUCUCUUUUAAAAAUAUCGUGUCUGCUUUUCCAGCGCUCUAAAGAAUGUUUGGGCGGGCAUGUUUGGAUUUAACUUGGCAUUGCUUUGGCUGCUUCGAUUUUUAUUCACUCUGUGCUGAUGUUCUUUAGCUAAUCAGUUCACAACAGUAAUGGACCGAACAUCUUUAACUUUAAUUCCUAAUUUUUUGAUUUUGGGAGGGAGGUUUGACUGGAAUUACAUUGGGAGGGAGGUUUGAUGCAUUGCCUGCUCUUCAAUUUCGAUGUUUGUAAUAUUUUUCCACGUGGAAAUAGGACAGACCAGGGUGCUUAUUCUAAGCUUUGGAUUUCAGGGUCAAGGACUUGGAGCAAUAAGAUCUGUGUAUAGGAUGCUUUCGAUACUUGCUCGGGGGAUCAAGUUUCUCUUAAUUACUUUUUGUCCAUCAUAUAUAAUCUAUAAUUGUUAAAUAGCUAGGGUCUGAGUUCAAUUGUGUGUGCUUUCAGGAGUCUUAUCAACUUCUCCGAGGAAGCUUGUUGAGUUUUGCUGGGCUCUUAGCAGAGUGGUUUAUUGUCACCUUCUACCAACACCAUUACUAACUUCACCAAUGCAGCUGUUUUGUUUGCUCUUUUAUUGCCAUAUCAUUUUCAUCUUCUGAAAAUUCUCUCUCUCACCAAUAGCUUAUUUUGUGCAGAUACUUCAAUAGAUGGUUAUGUUUUCAUCAAGAUUACACAAGUGUUUCCUAACCUUGCCUUCUUUUGGCUUCCGAUUUUUAUUUAUCAAAACAAGGGUUUCUUAACUUCUCCUUUUCAUUCUAGUCAACAAGUUUAAGUUCCUAAUUUAUAACUUGUGUGUGACCUUUGAUUGUGCUUUUUUUCUAGGAACCCUCCCAAUUCAUCGUGGAAGAUAUGUGGUCUGCAAUUUUUUGGGAGUGUUAAUUCAUUACCUACUCUUUUAUUUUCUUACCUGCUUUAACAUUUUGAGUGCUUAGUCUAAGAUGCUGACUUUGUGUCUUUCCAGAAGUAUGAAUUCGAACAACAUUCUGUCCUACGUGAUACUUUGGAACCGGCUGUCUCUUUGUUUGUAUUUUACCUAGUAUCUACUACUUUAUUGGAGGUAGGGUUUUAGUUAGAUGCUGUUUUUUUGUGCUCCCAGGACCCUUCUUGUUUUUUAAUGGAAAAUAGUAUAUGCUGUAUGUUUGGUUCUUUGGUGUUAGGAGUGUUGAUGGGAAUUAACUUGGCAUUCCUUGGGCAGCUUCAUUUUGACUCUGUGCAGGUGCUCUGUAGCUGAUCAGUUCUCAACAGUAAUGCACCAAGCAUCUUUAACUUUGAUUUCUCAUUUUGAAUAAUGCUCUGUAGCUGAUCAGUUCUCAACUUCCUGACAACACUCUCUCUCUCUAUCCAAUAGCUUUUUUUAUGGUUAUGUUUUCAUCAAUUUCAUUGCUUGUUAUAUUUAUGUGUCAAUAGGACGCCCUAGGAUGCUUAUUCUAAGCUUUGGUUUUCAGGGUCACUGACUUGGAGCAAUUAGAUCAGUGUAAAGGAUUCUUUUAAUACUUGUAUUGGAGUUUAAGUUUCUCUUAAUUUCUUAUAUAAUCUACAACUGUUAAACAACUAGAGUCUGAGCUCAAUUGUAUGUGCUUUCAGGAGUCUUAUCAACUUCUCCGAGGAAGCUUGUUGAGUUUUGUUGGGCUUUUAGCAGUGGUUUAUACAACCUUCUACCAACUCCAUUACUAAAUUCACCAAUACAGCUUUUUUGUUUGCUCUUUUAUAGCCAUAUCCUUUUCAACUUCUGACAACUCUCUCUCUCACCAAUAGCUUAUUUUGUGCAGAUUCUUCUCUAGAUGGUUAUGUUAUCAAAGAUUACAUCAAGUGUUUCCUAACUUUGCAUUCUGAUUUGGCUUCCGAUUUUAGAUCAAAACAAGGGUUUCUUAAGUUCUCUUUUUCAUUCUAGUCAACAUGUUUAAUUUCCUAAUUUAUAACUUGUGUGUGACCUUUUCUUGCGCUUCUAUAACUGUUAAACAACUAGAGUCUGAGCUCAAUUGUAUGUGCUUUCAGGAGUCUUAUCAACUUCUCCGAGGAAGCUUGUUGAGUUUUGUUGGGCUUUUAGCAGUGGUUUAUACAACCUUCUACCAACUCCAUUACUAAAUUCACCAAUACAGCUUUUUUGUUUGCUCUUUUAUAGCCAUAUCCUUUUCAACUUCUGACAACUCUCUCUCUCACCAAUAGCUUAUUUUGUGCAGAUUCUUCUCUAGAUGGUUAUGUUAUCAAAGAUUACAUCAAGUGUUUCCUAACUUUGCAUUCUGAUUUGGCUUCCGAUUUUAGAUCAAAACAAGGGUUUCUUAAGUUCUCUUUUUCAUUCUAGUCAACAUGUUUAAUUUCCUAAUUUAUAACUUGUGUGUGACCUUUUCUUGCGCUUCUAUAACUGUUAAACAACUAGAGUCUGAGCUCAAUUGUAUGUGCUUUCAGGAGUCUUAUCAACUUCUCCGAGGAAGCUUGUUGAGUUUUGUUGGGCUUUUAGCAGUGGUUUAUACAACCUUCUACCAACUCCAUUACUAAAUUCACCAAUACAGCCUUUUUGUUUGCUCUUUUAUAGCCAUAUCCUUUUCAACUUCUGACAACUCUCUCUCUCACCAAUAGCUUAUUUUGUGCAGAUUCUUCUCUAGAUGGUUAUGUUAUCAAGAUUACAUCAAGUGUUUCCUAACUUUGCCUUCUGAUUUGGCUUCCGAUUUUAGAUCAAAACAAGGGUUUCUUAAGUUCUCUUUUUCAUUCUAGUCAACAUGUUUAGUUUCCUAAUUUAUAACUUGUGUGUGACCUUUUCUUGCGCUUGUUUUCUAGGAAUCCUCCAAUUCAUCAAGGAACAUGUGGACAGCAAUUUUUCAGGAGUGUUAAAUUCAUUUCCUACUCUUUUCCUUUUUCUGCGUGUAUCUGUCUUGCUUCGAACAUUUCGAGUGCUUAGUCUAAGACACUGACUUUGUGUGUUUCCAGAAGUGUGAAUUCGAACAACGGCCUGUCCUAAUUGAUGCUUUGGAACCGGCAGUCUCUUUGUUUGUAUUUUACCCAGUUUCUACUUCUUUAUUGGAGGUAGGGUCUUAGUUGGUUGCUGUUUUUUUGUGGCUCCCAGGACCAUUUUUGUUUUUGAAUGGAAAAUAGUAUGUGCUGUAUGUUUGGUUAUGUGUUGUUAGGAGUGUUUGGGUGAGCAUGGUGGGAAUUAACUUGGCUUUUCUUGGGCAGCUUCAUUUUAUUUCGACUUUGUGCAUAUGCUCUGUAGCUGAUCAGUUCUCAACAGUAAUUCACCAAGCAUCUUUAACUUUAACUUUAAUUUCUCAUUUUGAUCAAUGAUUUUUCAUUGGCCUUUUGUUUUGCAUGUUUUUCCCAUGAUCAGAUGGUUUUCAACUAACAUGUAAGAUUAGGAUUACCUUGGGAGGUUUGAUCCAUCGCCUACUCUUCAAUUUCGAUGCUGGUUAUUUUUAUGUGUCAAUAGGACGCCCUAGUAUGCUUAUUCUAAGCUUUGGUUUUCGGGUCACGGAUUUGGAGCAAUAAGAUCUGUGUAAAGGAUGCUUUUGAUACUUGCAUUGGAGAUAAAGUUCUCUUAAUUCUUUUUUAUGUGUUAUACAAUCUAUAAUUGUUAAACAGCUAGAGUAUGAGUUAAAUUGUGUGUGCUUUCAGGAGUAUAUCAACUUCUCUGAGGAAGCUUGUUGAGUUUUGUUGGGCUUUUGUCUGUGUUUUAUUGUUACCUUCUACCAUCAAACUUCACCAAUACAGCUGUUGUUUGCUCUUUUAUCUCCAUAUCGUUUUAAACUUCUGACAGCUCUGUCUCUCUCUCACCAAUAGCUUAUUUUGUGCAGAUUCUUCUCUAGAUGGUUACAUUUUCAUCAAGAUUACACCAAGUGUUUCUUAACUUUGGCUUCUGAUUUUAGAUAAAAAAAUGUUUCUUAAAUUCUCUUUUUCAUUCUAGUCAACAAGUAUAAUUUCCUAAUUAUAACUUGUGUGUGACCUUUGCUUUCAUUUAUUUUCUAGGAACCCUCCAAUUCAUCGAGGAACAUACAUGGACGGCAAUUUUUGGCAGUGUUAAAUUCCUUUUUCUGCUUGUAUCUCUGUCUUGCUUUAACAUUUUAAGUGCUUAGUCUAAGAUACUGACUUUGUGUCUUUUUAGAAGUCUGAAUUUGAACAACGAUUUGUCCUACAUGGUGCUUUGGAACUGACAGUCUCUUUGUAUUUUACCCAGUUUUUACUUUAUCAUAAGAGGCUUUUAGUUAGAUGCUGUUUUUUUGUGGCUCCCAAGACCCUUUUUGUUUUUGAAUGGGAAAUAGUUUGUGCUAUAUGUUUUGUUCUGUGCUGUUAAGGAGUGUUUGUGCAGGUAUGCUGGGAAUUAACUUGGCAUUUAUUGGGAAACUUCAAUUUAUUUUGAUUCUGUGCAUAUGCUCUGUAUUGAUCAGUUCUCAACAGUGAUGCACCAAGCAUCUUUAACUUUGAUUUCUCAUUUUGAUCAAUGAUUUUUCGUUGGCCUUUCUAACUUUGCCUUCUGAUUUGGCUUCCGGUUUUAGAUCAAAACAUACAUUUCUUAAAUCUUAAAAUUUAUAACUGGUGUGUGACCUUUGCUUGUGCUUUUUUUUUUCUUCUAGGAUCCCUCAAAAUUCAUCAAGGAACAUAUGUGGACUGCAAUUUUUUUUGGAGUGUUCAACUCAUUUCCUACUCCUUUCCUUUUUCUGCCUAUAUCUCUUCCUUUAACAUUUUGAGUGUUUAGUCUAAGAUACUGACCAUGUGUUUUUCCAGGAGUAUGAAUUUGAACAAUGGUCUUUAUUACGUGAUGCUUUGGAACCUGCAGUCUCUUUAUUUGUACUAUACACAGUUUCUACUUCUUUAAUGGAGGUAGGGUUUGAAAUAGAUGCUGUUUGUUUUUGUCUUCCUAGACCCUUUUUGUUUUUGAAUGGAAAAUAGUCUGUGCUGUAUGUUUUGGUCUUUUCUGCUAGGAAUGUUUGGGCGGACAUGUUCAAAAUUAACUUGGCUUUGCUUGGGCAGCUUCAAUUUGUUUUCACUCUUUGCUGAUACUCUGCUGCUGAUCAGUUCUCAAGAGUAAUGCACCAAGCACCACUAACUUUGAUUCUCAUUUUGAUCAAUGAUUUUUCGCUGCCCUUUUGUUUUGGAUGUUUUUCCAGGAUCAGGCCAUUUUCAAUUAACAUGUAAGACUAGGAUUACCUUGGGAGGUUUAAUGCAUUGCCUAGUCUACAGUUUUGAUUCUAGAUAUAAUUUUCUUAUUCUGGCAUUAGGAAGAUUUAGGGUGCAUGUUCUAAGCUUUGGUUUUCAGGGUCACAGACUUGGAGCAAUAAGAUCUGUGUAAAUGAUGCUUUUGAUAAAAUGCAUUGGUGAUUAAGUUUCUCUUAAUUCCUUUUUGUCUGUCUUAUAUAAUCUAUAAUUGCUAUAUAGCUAGAGUCUGAGUUCAAUAAUGUGUGCUUUCAGGAGUCUAUCAACUACUCUAAUGAAGCUUGUAGGAAUUUGUUUGAGAUACUUCUCUAGAUGGUUAUGUUUGCAUCAAGAUUACACCAAGUGUUUCCAAACUUUUCUUUCAGCUUUACCUUCCGAUUUUAGAUCAAAACAAGUGUUUCUUUUUUAUUUAUUAAUUUAUUUUCGAUAAGUUUAAUUUCCUAAAAUAUAACUUGUGUGUGACAUGUGCUCACACGUUUUUCUAGGAACCCUCCAAUUUAUCAUGGAACAUAUGUGGGCUGCAACUUUUUGGGAGUGUUUAAUUCAUUACCUCCUCUUUUCCUUUAUCUUUUUAUCUCUCGUCUUGCUUUAACAUUUUUAGUGCUUAGUCUAAGACAGUGAUUGGGUGUCUUUCCAGGAGCUUGAAGUUGAAGAAUGGGUGAAAUUAUUACUUGAUGCUUUGGAACCUGCCGUCCUCUUUUAACUCUGUAUUUUCAUCUCACUUAGUUUCCACUUCUUUGAUAGAGAUAGGUUUUGUUUUUUUAGUUGUGUUCCUUGAGGAUCUUAUGCCCUUAAAAUUGAACCAGGAAUUUUAACAUCAGUGGUUUUUUUACUGGCUGUACCAGCUUCAAGUCUAUGCUUUACUAGUAGGGGCAAUUAUUUCAUACUCUUUCUUCUCUUGAGACAUUCCUCCUUUCCCUUUUCAUUGAACUCUCUCUCUCUCAACAUUUAUAAGUUCAUUAAUUUUAAUUUUGUUUUGUGCAGAUGUUUCUAGAUGUUGUUUUCAAGAACAGUGCACUUAGUUUCUCAUAAUUUUGUUUUACGUUUUAAUCUAUAUUUUGCUCUUGAUUCUGCAUAACCAUGACGGAUGUCAGCUCCUUUAUUUGUGUUUCCAUGAUUAUUCUUGUUUGUUAAGGAACGAAUGAAUCAGAUUUAAGCCAGGUAUUGUUCCAUAUAGUUACUUGCUUGUUAUAUUUUAGUCUUAAGUUUGUGUGUUAUUUCAGGAGCAGGGAUUUUUAACUUUUCGAGUCUUCUGUUUGAUGCUCGCAAAUUUGUAGUGAACUAAGUUUUAAUGUCAAGGCAUCAAAAUUGUUAGUGUCUGGUCUAUCUUUCCUUGUUCCAUGUGAUUUCUGCUUGUUCCAUAGAGCUAGCAGUAAUAGGAGGGUGUUCCAUGCAGGAAUAAUUUGUUGAUGCUUUUCUUGCUCUUUUUUCUUUCUUUUAUCAUUACUUUUUGCAAUUUUAGCUGACAUAUUACUGUCUCAUUUUAAAAUGAAUUUAUGCUAAGAGUGAACAGUGGGCGACAUUAAAACUAUUUAUAUUAUUCAUGUUUUCUCUAAUUGUGGUGCCAGCAUGUGUUUUUUCCUUUGAAUUGUAGUUUUCAGCUUAAGAAUUGGUUGUACUUUUUUUUUCAGGGUAUCAUUUAGUAAUAUACAUGGACUGCAGCUGAUGGAUUAUUUUAUGAUAUGGGUAAUUUAAUGAUGUUUUGAUGACUUAUACGACCACCAAAUAGUCAAUUAAUCAUUUUAUUGGUUUCUCUCGAAUUCGUGCUUCUUUGAAGAGUUAAGGAGCUGUACUUUGUUUCUGUAGUGUCUCUUUAAAUGUUGAAUGGGAGAUCAUUUUCAUUCUUGACUUACUACAGCAGUUCUCCUUUGGGCAUUUUUUUGAGGUUUCUUCUUUUCUGUCUCCCACAAUUUUUCCAGCUAGAUAAUUCUAACUUUGUUCCUUUCUUAUUUUGCUUUCAGAAGCUGCAAAUUCCUAAAAUAUUUGUUCACAAUUGUUUUUGCAUUUUAAUUACCAUUUUGAAUUUGACUUGUUAAAAAAAUAGAGUCCAAGUCUGUUUGCAUUUUUUGUAGGAUCUAUUGGGUUCUCUUAAUUAAAUGAAUACCAGCCAAGAUCCAACAAGGAGUGCUCUUCUGGCUUUUGAUUGUUGUUGUUGCUAUUUGUAUUAUCUACAACAGCUUUUUCGACCAUGCUUUGAUUGUGUUUAUCCUGGUGUUUACAAGAUUUACAUUAUUUGUUUCGCAAUCAAAUGAUGAUAGGGUUCACAACUAGCAAAGCACUGACUGCUUCUUUAAUUGUCAUUUUGAUUUUUUAUACUCUCAGAUGGAGGUCUGUUUGUGCAUUUUUUUCGAAGAAAUCCUGUCAAGUGUUAUCAGCAAAGUAUGAACCAAUAGAAGCCGGGUAAUUAUUAGUUAAGUAGAGUUUUUUAUGGCUUAUUAUGGAAAAAAAAUUGAACCUAUUUCUUGACAUGUUAUUCCUUACAUAUAAACUUUAUCCUUGCAGCAUUUCUUUUUUGUAUAUUUUCUUUUUUUGUUCAUCACAAAUGUUUUUGAAGUUGAGGAAUUUCGCAAGAACUUGCAAUGUACUGUCUCCUCAGUUUUCAUGUCUUAAUUAAUUUUAAUGAAAAUCUUCUGUUUCAACUUCUCACAACAUAUCUAAGCUUUUCCCUGUUCUUUAGGUUAUGCCUGGUUUUUUGUUCAACUUCUGAACUGAUAUUCAUCCAUGUCCUUUUUUUUUCCCUGUUUUUUUACAGUUCCAUAAAUAAUUGCAUCUAGUAAGACUUCAAUUUAUGAGGAAUUUUUCCCCGUAUUCAUCUCACAGAUUAAAAUUUUUUGAACAUAGCGUUUGAGUUUGUUUACUCAUUUUUGCAGGAGUCCUUUAAGUGUUACAAAUUUGAUAGGCUAAGAUUGGUUUUAUGUUUGCUUUUUCGGGGUUUUACAUAUACAAGGAAGUAUAUUGCUUUUGAUCUUACUGACAAGUGAGUUCUGGUUGCUCUUUUUUUUCCUUCUAUUUUUCUCUCAAAUUUACUUGCCCUUCUGUUUUGCAGUCUGGACAAAGCUCAAGUGAAUUUAGGUGAAUUAAGAGUCCUUUAUUCCUGGCAUUGCUUUAUGUUCCUAUAUGAAUUUUCUUCAGGCUAUAUUCUUUCCUCCAAAAUUGCUUGUGCUUCGUUGUUGAUUGUGGUUGACUGAUCAGCUUCUUAUUGGGAUACCUGCAAGUACUUGUAUGAAAGUGUUGGAAGAAUUUCUUGUUCUUAUGCUUUUGUUUCUUGGUGCACGAGCUUUGUGAGAGAACAGAUUAAACACAGAAUGAAGCUUGUGGUAUGCAACACCAGCCUUUUUCCUCUCAUAAAUUGUUUGGAUACAGUAUGGUGCUUUGUUUGGUGAUUUUUGGGAUUAGUAGAUGGUGGGUCUAGUUUCAGAUAUUCUGUGAAGUGUUUUUUGGUCUGUUCUGUACUAGAAGUAGUUGGUUCUUUCUGCACUUACUGGCCAAAGAUAUUUGAUGCACGUAGCAGCCUCUACUUUCUGAAUACAAUUUUGUUGUGCUGUCUUCUUGGUUUCUGGAAUUCACUAUUUUACUAAAAAGUGAAUUAAAUGAUCUUCUUUUGUUGCUCAGUUGAAAAGAGAUGUCUUGAGCAAUUAGAGAAGCACUGUGAUAAACAGAUUGAAUCUUGACUGACGUGAUUAAGGUAUUAGUGUUUGUUCUAUUAGACAACAAAGAUCACAUUUUUUUCAUCUGAUUGUCAGUUCUGAAUAUGAAAGGUAAAAAGCAAGGAAAAAGACUUUCUCCCUGCUUUCAGAACAAGGAGGAGAUUCAGCUUAAAAGCAGAACACACCAAUGGAGCGUUUGAAAUUUUUAUCAGUUACCUAUUGUUUUUUCUAGGACUGGCUUCUAGAGGGUUAAUUCGUAUUUCCUAUUGUCUCUGCAUAAAUUGGCGGUGUUUACUCGACUGUUGGAGUUUUUGAUGGAUACCUUUUCCAAAUAUUAUGUGGAGUAGCUUUGACAUGUCCUUUUCAGGGAUUGGUACGUGAUUUUGUCUUCAAAAUUCUUAUCAAUUUGGUGCACUUCACUUUGGUUAGUGGGAUCUCUGUAGUUUGGCUGAAGUCCUGCUAAAGUGGUUGCUUAUGUGGUAAUAGCUGUGGUUACUGAAUUUUAUCUCUUGGCCUUGGUUUGUAUCAAGAUUGCUUUUGAUUGCAAGGGAUGAUACCAGUUUGUUAGUCAAGCAAAAGUGUCAAGUCAUUUAUGCAAAACAUGUUUCCUCACCAGAUGGUUAUAUGACUCUUGGAAUCUGUUGGUAUCUCCCGCGUUGUGAGUGUUGGAAAUGAAGCUGUUGGGGUCAAAAUUGCUGAUUGUCCAUGGCUGCUGCAUGAUGUGUUUUGUGUGAUAAUCUUGAUGCAUAUGCUUGGUUUGCAGUGUGCUUGAAAUUUGGUUCUGUUCGGAUUGUGGUGAUGCCACCAUUUAUUUGUCCAAGUGUGAUUAGGGGGCGAGCUAGAGUUUGAAGAAUUAUGCAGCUCCGUAUUAUUUCAAGGGCACUUUGCAGGGUUUUAUUUUAUUGCUUCAUUGUUACUUGGGCUGGAUUGAUUUCGUUUCUUUUAUUAUGGGUCUUUGGUUGUUUGCUAGAGUUCGCUUUUCUAUGCAUGCUGCUCUGUGUGUGGUUGUAUGCAUGUAACUCCGCCUGUGGGCACUAUGCAUGGCUCGCAGCCGGUCUCAAGCCCGGGGUAAGGAGGAGAGAUGCAUAUGAUGAUAUAAUUGCCUUUGAUCACGCCGCAUGCAUCAUAUAGCUAUUCCAUCUCUUUUGCUUUGUUAAUAACUUGAUUCUCUUAACUAUAUUUUAUUGGAAUUUAGAAUAAACUUUCCUGGCUUUUUAGAAAAAAAUAUUCCCCAUUACGUGGGGUUCAUUCUUCCCCUGAAAUCGGCAUGGCUACAGUCAGACAGUCUAGAUAGAAGAUAAGGAUCGAAAGUCUAGACUUUCUCUUUUUCAUAGUGAGAGCUGUUUGGUUAUUAGUCACUUUUCUCGCUCCUCAAGAAAGACGGCAAGAAACUUCCUAUUAGGAAUGGCUUCCUUUCAGGUUGUGUUGUUACAGACCAGACUGUUCUAACAGGGCAGGGGAGACGGAGAAGUAAUCUCAUACAGUGGAGACAUAAAAGCUGAAUUUGUCUUCCUCCACUUGCUUCACACGUAAAAGCUGGUUCUAUGUAAAUAAGCGAGGCUUCAGGUGAUGUUAUCAACUGAUAAUUUAUCUUUGUUGCAUCAAAAACAUCAUAUGAGUGCUUGGUGCAUCGAUGCAAACAUUUAAUUCUGGAUUCUAAAGUUCAACUCCCUGCUGGGUGAGUUUUCGAGAGAGAGUUAUAUCCGGAGUUUUUUUGUUUGAAUUUGCUUAGCUUCCGAGUUUAAAAAAUAAGCUUGAAGAACCUCGACAGGCUAUGGAAGUGGGGUUUUCAUGUAUAAGAUGCUUUUUGCUUCCUUUUCCUGUUAAGACAGGAGAAAAACAAGCUUUUGCCAUUAUCAAGCCUUGCACUCUCUUUAACUGCAGUAUCCUGCAGGCCAGAGAGCAUUUCAAUGAAAGUGUUGUUCCUUGGUUGGUGGGAUUGAUUAAAGGGUAUAAAGCAGUCUACCUUUAAUCAGAUGAGUUUAGAUAAUAGAGAUGCAUGGUGGAACAAUUUUCAAUGCCUUCUAAGAUCUGUUUGGUUUUGGAAUUAGAUAAAAGUGUCAUUCUCAUUUGCAGUUAUGGGCAUGCAUAUUUGUGCAGAAUGCUACAUUGUGCCCUGCAUUCAUCGUAUUGCUCUCUGGUUUUUUUGCAAAAGGCACCUUUCAAGCCCCUAGUUAAUCAGGGUCGAGUAGGUUUUGGUUGGGUUUCUUGACUCCAGUUCAUUUUCCUCUUGGUGAUGCUAACCUUCCUAAACUAAGGUAAAAAAGCUUGGGUCUGCUUUUUUAUUCUAAUAAAUCUUCUUUCAAGGUUGUGAACUUUUUCGCCGGAAGUCAGUUUCGCAUUGAAUAAACUUGUCCUUGAUAUUUUGUUUAUUCUAUUCUUUUUUCAUAUUUUUUUGGCUCUGGUGUUUGUUGGAACAGAUGAAACAUUGAUGAAGCAUCUAGCUAGAACAGAUGGACAUGGAUGAAGCAUCUAGCUAUAGUGAUAUUUAACAGCUGGAUUAGUUGCUUCACUUUUUGAUUUUUAAGAACCACUAGAUGGUGGUUGAGUCUCGUAUUCUCUUACAGAGUGCUUGUUAACAAUAUAAGCUUUUCGCCCAAUUGUUUUCUUCAAGUAAUGGUGAUUUUCCAAAUACAAGUGAGUGAUAGUUGAGCCUUUCAAAUUCUUAUCUCUGGUUCUUAGCCAGUUUUAAUUUAAUUACUAUUCAAUCUUGAGAAAGGAAGUCGAUUAGUUGGUUCGUAAGUGCCCUCUCUCUCUGCUCUUCUUUUUCUUGUUCAGUUGCUGCGUUUACUUGGCAGGUUUUACUUAGCUAUUUUCCCUCCCAAACAUUAUGUCACAAGGCUUGCUCUAUGACACAGGUCAGUUUUAUUUCCUUGUAUCUUAUUGGAUGCUGCAAGUGUGCAUGUUUGCAGUACUUUAAUUGUUUGAACUCUCAAGAAACUGGAAUUGUGUUCUGUCAAGGAGAUUGGAAAGGAGUGGGGGCACACACAAAUGACGAACAGCUGGUCACCCCGUGAACCCAUUUUGCCUUGUGCAGUUAUUUGUCUUCUUGCUUUUUGUUUGUAACUUGUGUGCAUACAGGGGGAUGGAGACUUGAUGCUCAAGGAAAUGACUCAAAGGUCCCUGUAAAACUGAAAACUUUUGUGGAAUUGACCGUGGUCAGCUUCCCCUGACGCUAUUUCUUCGAGGCAAGAAUCCUGUACGGGAAUGGUGACUUUCCAGUAUCGCUUGGCACACCAUUCAAUGGAAGUUCUUCAGGGGUGCAGUGUCGUCUGUAAUCAUUGUUUUCCUACGUUAGAAACAAUUAUUGAAAAAAAUUAGUUUGCUUCUUAAAGUACCAUUUUCUUCAAGCUAAAAAAAAAACAUCUUAAUAGUACUAUCAUGUUUUUGUAUUUUUUUUUAAAUGAGUAUUUUUAAUUUUGAAUAGGUAAUUAAAGUGUAAGUAAAUAAAAUAAUUUUGGAUUGUUUUGAUCGA